AGAGCGAACGCUGGCGGCAGGCUUAACACAUGCAAGUCGAGCGCCCCGCAAGGGGAGCGGCAGACGGGUGAGUAACGCGUGGGAACGUACCUUUUGGUUCGGAACAACACAGGGAAACUUGUGCUAAUACCGGAUAAGCCCUUACGGGGAAAGAUUUAUCGCCGAAAGAUCGGCCCGCGUCUGAUUAGCUAGUUGGUGAGGUAACGGCUCACCAAGGCGACGAUCAGUAGCUGGUCUGAGAGGAUGAUCAGCCACAUUGGGACUGAGACACGGCCCAAACUCCUACGGGAGGCAGCAGUGGGGAAUAUUGGACAAUGGGCGCAAGCCUGAUCCAGCCAUGCCGCGUGAGUGAUGAAGGCCCUAGGGUUGUAAAGCUCUUUUAACGGGGAAGAUAAUGACGGUACCCGUAGAAUAAGCCCGGCUACUUCGUGCCAGCAGCCGC
rnacentral:rRNA from 1 species